rnacentral:lncRNA from 1 species
GCCGCCCAAAUUAAAAAAAAAAUCAGAUCGGCCUCCUCCGAUCGCUGCAGUCGCUGCCACCAGAAUCUCAUCUACUCCCUGGCCUCCGCACCUGCACCAAAUUCUAUCGCUGCACCUAUCCAAACCGGCCUCACCUACAGCGCAGAUCGCUGCAGAAUCCGACAGCCCUGCAGCCCUGCCCCGCCCCUCCCCGCGCGCCGCAGCUUCCAACACAGCCCCGGCCGCCCCUCACCCAGUCCACCCCCCGCGCGGCUCAUCUCACGCAUAAGCGCCUGCAUCUUCGCUCAUAACAGCCUCCGCCCAGGCCCUCGAUCCAGUUACAGCUGCUCCCCAUCCCCGCGCAGCAAACCCACCUUGUUUGCGGUCUCAGCCCUAGCGCUCGCCUGCGAAACCAGCCCCGGCGAUCCCUCGCAGCCCAGUGUAACGGUGCCUGCUCCCACCUUCACUGAUCCCAGCACCUGCAAAUCACCAUCUGUAAAGAACCAGAAACCAGCAGAAAAACGCGAGG